rnacentral:rRNA from 1 species
GGGGGAUAUGCCCCGGGUACCGGCGAGUGAAGCGGCAAAAGCUCAAAUUUGAAAUCCCCCGGGAGUUGUAAUUUGAAGACCGGUGCUUGGGUGUGGCCUGCUCCAAGUCCAUUGGAACAUGGCGCCUGGGAGGGUGAGAGCCCCGUCCGAGCAGCACCACGCCCUCUGUGGCACCGCGUCGACGAGUCGAGUUGUUUGGGAAUGCAGCUCUAAGUGGGUGGUAAAUUCCAUCUAAAGCUAAAUACCGGCGAGAGACCGAUAGCGAACAAGUACAGUGAUGGAAAGAUGAAAAGCACUUUGAAAAGAGAGUGAAACAGUACGUGAAAAUUGUUGAAAGGGAAGGGCUUGCAAGCAGACACGGGUUCGCCCGGGCCAGCAUCGGUUGAUCGGGGCAGACAAGACCGCGGGCAUGUGGCAGCAUUGCUGUGUUAUAGCCCGCGCGGAUGUGCCCUCCUUCGACCGAGGCCUGCGAUUCUGUCUAGGAUGCUGGCGUAAUG